UACGUAGGGUGCAAGCGUUAAUCGGAAUUACUGGGCGUAAAGCGUGCGCAGGCCUUUGUGUAAGACAGAUGUGAAAUCCCCGGGCUCAACCUGGGAACUGCAUUUGUGACUGCACAGCUGGAGUGCGGCAGAGGGGGAUGGAAUUCCGCGUGUAGCAGUGAAAUGCGUAGAUAUGCGGAGGAACACCGAUGGCGAAGGCAAUCCCCUGGGCCUGCACUGACGCUCAUGCACGAAAGCGUGGGGAGCAAACAGG
rnacentral:rRNA from 1 species